rnacentral:rRNA from 1 species
CCAGGCGCCCCAUACCACCCUGAACGCGCCCGAUCUCGUCUGAUCUCAGAAGCUAAGCAGGGUCGGGCCUGGUUAGUACUUGGA